UAUUCUGUAAUUCGUUAAGACAGUAACGACAUCGUUGCACAGAUAUUUUAUGGUAUAAAAAACUGCGCAACGGAUUUCUGAGAAUU